CACGGCUAGUACUAGAGUCGGCUAUGAUUUUUCUUUUCUCUUCUCUUUUUAUUUUUUACAUCGCGUGCCGUAUCUCGCUCGCGACGUAACAUAUGCAAAUGUACUAGUUUGUUUUGUUUCAUUAGUAGUGCAUAAGUGCUUGACAAUACAGAAUGACAUGGUGCGUAGCAUUCUCAUCAUUGCAAAGUAAUAUAUAUCUAUUUACCGCAGUAAGAUGAGCAUAUAAUAGAGUUUUAUCAAUAUAUAAUUAAGUUGCAGCCAAAAUCACAAGUUAGAUAUAUUUAACAUUAUUUGCCUCUAAUUGAUUUGAGCAGCUCUCAUUACCUUAAUUGGAUGAAACGGAACAACAAUACGCUUGUCUCAUAACUAAGGUCAAAUAGUUAUUUGUAACAUUUGACAGGUAUAGGUUGGAGUGAAAAAUAUUUGCAAAUUGAAUGCAGCUAAUUUCUUACAAGAUAUAUCAGGAAGUAUGUUUAAGCAUUUAUUCAGACAUUGAUGACAAAAUUAUAACAAAGAAUUUCUGGAGUAGAAAAGUUGAAUAGAUACAUUAAAAAUAUUUUCCAGCAUGGAAUGAAAUACUAGGACAUAUAACAAAAACGUACUAUGCAAACAGAUGCAAUUACUUUCUUGCAUGAUAUAUCUGGAAAUAUGUUUAAAAUAAAGAAAUAUUAAACCUUAUUUUCUUCAAUACAUUCUUUAUUCCAAAUUAAUGUUGUUGAGUACAGUGUAUGAAUAUAUAAUAAUAUGAUUUCUCUUUCUUUAUUUUCAGCAUUUAUUCAGAUAUUGAUGCGGAAAUUACAAUCAAAAAAUUAUGGAGUGGAAAAGUUGAAUAGAUGCAUUAAAGAAAUUAACCAGUGUUGAAUGAAAUAGUAGGACAAAUAACAAAAUUUUUGUUAUUACAUGGUUUUUAUAGUCCAUGAUUUGGAAGACAAACUUAUCUAAUUUAAUACUCCUCCUCUUUGGAUAGUUCUGUAUCUAUCAAGUUUUUCUACUCCAUACAUUCUUUGUUAUAAUUUCGUCAUCAAUGUCUGAUUAAAUGCUGAAGAUAAAGAAAAAGAAAUCAUAUUAUUAUUUAUUGAUACAUUGUAC